rnacentral:rRNA from 1 species
UUUUUGCGGAGAGUUUGAUCCUGGCUCAGGAUGAACGCUGGCGGCGUGCCUAAUACAUGCAAGUCGAACGGAGGCAUUAGCAAUAGUGCCUUAGUGGCGAACGGGUGAGUAACGCGUUGGUGACCUGCCCCAAAGUGUGGGAUAACAGUCCGAAAGGAUUGCUAAUACCGCAUGUGGUUUUCUGGAUUAGAUGCCAGAUUUCUAAAGGAGAAAUCCGCUUUGGGAGGGGCCUGCGUCCCAUCAGCUAGUUGGUAGGGUAAUGGCCUACCAAGGCUUCGACGGGUAAGGGGCCUGAGAGGGUGGCCCCUCA